ACCGAGUCUGCGGGGCUAGACGCUGACCGCCCGGGCCAGCACCUAGGCGGGCGGGAGCUGUGCGGCCCAGGGUUCGCGCGGGCCGGGUAGAGGCUCGAGCCAGGACCCCCGAGCGUGAACCCCGGAGCCGGCGGCGCUGGGGCCAGAGGGGCCGGGCGGGAGGUGAUGGCGGAGGCGAAGGGGCGACGGGACCUGGGCCUGGCCCGUGUGUGUCCUCAGAGGCCUGGCGCCGGCCGUCGCUGUACGGUCUAUCAGCCACAGUCUCUGCAAGUUUCCAAGAGCAGCAGAAAAUGAACACAUUGCAGCUGCUGGAGGAGGUGAAGUGGCAUCGAUGUCAUCUUUGAAAAGUUUCUACUUUGUCCCUUAAUGCCACCCUAACGUAUGAGCCUCUGCUUCAGAGGUUUGCAAGCCUGGCUGCGUAUUAGAGUCACCUAGGAGCUUAAGUGGCUUUUGAUGCAUUUCCAAGUAGAAUAAGGUCACACCUGGGUCCUGAGCUGGCGCCAUCACCGGAGACGCCAGGUGAUGUCCAUUCAUCAGAAAUAAUGAGCAAAGCAGCUGUGGCUUCUAAUCAGCCCAUCCCUCCAGGGUGUCAGAUGGAGGCCAAUUAGCGGACGCACUAGACAACCAAAUUCUGCCUUUCCAAGCAAAACAUCAGAAAAUGUUCUAGCCCUUAGCAUUGAUGCUGGAACCCAGUGUCUUGCUUCUGCUUGGGUUUUCAUGAUCUUUCCUUGCUCUGGGUGAGCUGGGG
ensembl:lncRNA LINC03009 long intergenic non-protein coding RNA 3009